CAGCAGGAAAACCCUUCACAAGCACCAUCACGCCAGAGCCACAGAUGGGAAACAACACGUGCACGCACGCACGCACGCAUACAAGUUAGACAAAUGGUUGAAGGCCGCACAGCUGGGAACUGGAGGUACCUUCGCUGGGCACCCGUUCAGUGUGAUGGUCAGGGUCACCCAGGAUGUGGCUGUCAUAAAGUGAAGGGUCCCAGAUGAGGAAGCAGGCUCGAAGUGGGGAAGUAACUCGUCUGGGAUUGCACAGUUCAGGGAGUGGCCAUUGGAACAUUCUUCUGCAGGCUUGGGCUAAGUCUGCAGCCUGUCUGGAACAAGGACAGGGCACAAAGAGUUAACCUUUCUCAAGAUAAAACUUGAAAUUGAGAGAAGAUUUCUUUCCCUAGAGGCACACCAGGCAUCCCACACCCAGGCAAGGGUGAGAAGUCUGCUCUUACAGCACAAGCCUUCCACGAGUUAUUUAUUGAAGUGUUGUGGCACCCUUGCCACAUCCCAGAGCCUCUGGAUGGAGGCUCCUCUGCAGAGUCUGCGAUUACCCAGAAAGACCAGAAAGAAAUGAGUUCUUUGAAGAGGCUGAGGUAGGAUAAAACGUGGCUGAAAUAUGCCCUCCCCUGAAAGCCUUGCCCAGCCCACGUUUGCCUUUACUAGCUCGAGUUCCCUCUGUGGAUAUUUGCUGAGGACUCCUGUGUGCCGUGUACCUUCUCAGUCAGAACAAUGUUUAAGCCUCACAGCAACUUUGUGCAACUGGUCAUUUGCAAAUUCAAUCUAUCAGCACUUACUAACACCGACAGUGUGCCUAGCAGUUAACUGGGUACCUGGAGCACAGUGCAGAGGAGAAGACAGGUAAGGACCUGUCUUUGGGGAAACUCAUGACCAUAUGGAGAAGACAGGUGAGGAGAGAGGCAAUCAUGGGCAGUGCUGGUUAAAGAGAAGCAUAGGGCAAGGACUGGGCUAACACAGACUAGGAGCUCAAUAAAAUAUUUGCAGUCAUUAAACUGAGACAUCCUCCCAUGGUGAAAGCUCUAGGCUAGAUCAGUACCCACAAUUCUUCUAGAUGCAUUUAGCAGAGGAAAGUGAUGCUAAAUCUUCAGCAAGGAGGGGAGGGAUGUGUUUAGGAAGCUGAUGGCCACAAACCUCCACCCAGUAGGUGCCCAUUGCAGUGUGGGAAUCACCAUCCUUACACUUCUGUUGAUGAACCCAACUCAUUGUUGAGAAAAAGCAGACUUUGAAGGGUUACUUUUUUUCUUGAAAGGUAGUUUUUCGGAAUGACUAGAUAAAGGGACCCAACAGGGCUGUCAUCUCUGCUUGCCUUUGUCCUGCUUGCAAGUUUUUAACAUUUAGAAGAAAGGAUGAUCACUAACAGGUAGCCCAAAACUUACGUGCUCCAAGAUUAUCAAGUCUGCUGGGAGAGAGGUUUUCUUUCUCCUACACAGUGAGUAUGUGCCUACGUGGUUUGUCCAGUUUUUAGUUCCAGAAAAAGCAUGUUGUUUCUACACUGAACUCAUGACCACCCUUGUUUGUGGGUCUUAACAAAAGCCCCUAUAGUGUUGAAAGUACACUUUGCCCCAAAGAGACUCAAACAAAUAAUACUAUUGUGUAGCUGUUUUCUCUGAGAUUAAAACCUUUUAUUUUGGAGAGAAACUUCUUAAGGCAGCAGGUUCUAAGGGUACCUGUUGCUUACAGGUAGCUCAUUUAAGUUAAGUAUCAGAAGUCAACAAUUCAAAACAGUUUCAGGAAGUCCCUGAAAAUGAUCAGAUUCACAAGGGCCCUCCCCCAAGAGUAUAUAAACAUUAAAGACUGUUGAGAGUCAACAAAAAAAGAUUCUCAGACAAGCCCUAGAGAUGCCUGAAGGAAGCAGAGGCAAGGUCAGCAGCCUAUAAGAAGGAGAAACCCACUAACCUGCCCAGAAGAAACAAAGACCAGCAGAGCUGCCUGGAAGAGGACCAGACCAACCUGAGCCACCUGGGAAGGACACUUUCCAACCUGUUGAGCUGCUACAGACUGUGCCAUACACUCUAGGCUUCUAGCUUUUGUGAACGGUCACCCAUGUUGGGUGGGCUUUGGUGAUGCAGCUGCCUUUGAAUCAUUUCUGCUCCUAUAAAUAAUCCCUCACUUAUAUUCCUAUAAGUAACCCCAAUAAAACUCAUUGGUUCACUAA